GCCGCUGAACUAAAUCCCCAGCCCCGAAAGAUUAAUUUUUGAAGACAGCCAAUUCACAUAUUUGAAGGAAAAGAUAUACAAUAAAGACUGGACACACUCGCUGGAUGAAAGAAGCUCCCAAAUUACAGUAGUGAUGACAGUUGGAAAGGUAACCAAUAAAAUUUAGUGCUACUCAAUCCCAGGGCAAAGAAGACAUGAACUGAGUUGGAAUGUUAUUCAGAACACAUGAACCACAGUGGUAUUUGACUGUAGAUGGCUGAUCAUAAGGUGGUCAACAUGGUGGUUAAUUGAGCUGCUAACAAAGAACUCUAUACGGUCUUCCUCUACAGAGAUCUAUAGGC